rnacentral:rRNA from 1 species
AACGAACGCUGGCGGCAUGCCUAACACAUGCAAGUCGAACGAGACCUUCGGGUCUAGUGGCGCACGGGUGCGUAACGCGUGGGAACCUGCCCUUAGGUUCGGAAUAACUCCCCGAAAGGGGUGCUAAUACCGGAUAAUGUCUUCGGACCAAAGAUUUAUCGCCUUUGGAUGGGCCCGCGUUGGAUUAGCUAGUUGGUAGGGUAAAAGCCUACCAAGGCGACGAUCCAUAGAUGGUCUGAGAGGAUGAUCAGCCACACUGGGACUGAGACACGGCCCAGAUUCUGCCGGAAGGCAGCAGUGGGGAAUAUGGGACAAUGGGCGAAAGCCUAAUCCAGCAAGGCCGCGUAGGUGUUGAGGGCCUUAGGGUGGUAAGCCUCUUUUACCGGGAUGAUAAUGACAGUACCGGGAGAAUAAGCUCCGGCUAACUCCGUG